GCCAGGCGCGGUGGCUCACGCCUGUAAUCCCAGCACUUUGGGAGGCCGAGGUGGGUGGAUCACCUGAGGUCAGGAGUUCAAGACCAGCCUGGCCAACAUGGUGAAACCCCAUCUCUA
rnacentral:SRP_RNA from 2 species